ACUACGGGAGGCAGCAGUGGGGAAUAUUGGGCAAUGGGCGCAAGCCUGACCCAGCAACGCCGCGUGAAGGAAGAAGGCUUUCGGGUUGUAAACUUCUUUUAUCAGGGACGAAGCAAGUGACGGUACCUGAUGAAUAAGCCACGGCUAACUACGUGCCAGCAGCCGCGGUAAUACGUAGGUGGCAAGCGUUAUCCGGAUUUACUGGGUGUAAAGGGCGUGUAGGCGGGAGUGCAAGUCAGAUGUGAAAACUAUGGGCUCAACCCAUAGCCUGCAUUUGAAACUGUACUUCUUGAGUGCUGGGGAGGCAAUCGGAAUUCCGGGUGUAGCGGUGAAAUGCGUAGAUAUACGGAGGAACACCAGUGGCGAAGGCGGAUUGCUGGACAGUAACUGACGCUGAGGCGCGAAAGCGUGGGGAGCAAACAGGAUUAGAUACCCUUGUAGUC
rnacentral:rRNA from 1 species